rnacentral:sRNA from 1 species
UUUUAGCCCGGAUGGAAGCGGCAUCCUUUUUUGUUUGAGACGAAAUCUGAUUUCGGAUAGAAAUUUCCAAACAAAAAAGAUACAGCGCACAGCCGGAAAUAGC